CAGUAGCCACGGUAAUGCGUAGGUGGCAAGCGUUGUCCGAAGUUACUGGGCGUAAAGCGCGCGUAGGCGGCUUCUUAAGUCUGAGGUGAAAGGUUCAACGCUUAACGUGAACAGUGCCUUGGAUACUGGGGAGCUUGAGUAUGGGAGAGGGCAGUGGAAUGGCUGGUGUAGCGGUGAAAUGCGUAGAUAUCAGUCGGAGCACCCAUGGCGAAGGCAGCUGCCUGGCCUAAUACUGACGCUGAGGUGCGAAAGCGUGGGGAGCGAACGGGAUUAGAGACCCCUGUAGUCCCUGUCUCUUAUA
rnacentral:rRNA from 1 species